rnacentral:rRNA from 1 species
CUUUUUAUACCAAUAGGAAUAGGACGACCUAUCCCUACGGGUAUCGGGGGGUCGUAGAGGAAGAUAGGUUUGCGUAGGAGCCUAAACCAAAUUGCUCGUAGAAGAGUCUCUCGUCACGUCCACGUCGUGUGCUCUAACUCUUUUUAGUUGUGGGUGCGGCAGGCUUAGCUACUCGUCGCCGCCGCCGCUGCUGCUACGCCCCCGACCCCUGCCGCCCGCCCGGCUCACCGUCGCGUAGAUGCUGGCCCAGCUCCGCGAGCGGCGGCCAGCGCGCGCCGACCUCCGCGCGUUGUCCUGGGUCGUACUCAAGACCCUGCGGGCGCUGUUCUAGUUGGUGAGGGCGGAGGUGGUCCGCCUCGACUCGUCUUCGUCCACCCUCCGCCGGACGUCCCUCGACGAGGGAAGGCUACUAGGGUUCGAGCGGCUUGACGAUCUCUCACUAAACCUCCUAAGUUCUUGAACACUUCGAGAGAACCUGUGGCUUUUGAAUCUUGACGACCAUGUUGACUUCCUUCUACCUUGAACACAUCUCGAAUUACUUUUGUGACGUCUAGUACUCGUGUGAAGGCCUCUAAAUUAUAGUCUUGAUUCUUUCAAUUUCGCUUAGAUACUCUGGGAAGAUCUCCCAUUCGAUUUACUUAACUUGAGGAACCUAUUCCUCUUACUGUUGGUCUUCGAGUUUCAACGCUUUAGAUUCUGUGAAUUUGCGUUCAAACGGAGGAAUAGUUUAUAUGUUAGUUUCCUUCGACCUUUAACACACCUCUGAUAAGUUCUCUUACGCCUAGUACCCCGGUAGCGUUCUCUAAAUUCUCGUCUCGAGUCUUUUGACUUCGUUCGAAUACUCUGGGAAUCGAGUUUGUUCCUAUUCCUUUAAAGACGUGGUGAACGUCACCUCCUAAAAGAAAACUUGUUUGACGACUCUUAACUGUUCCUGUUGCGUCCCGAGGAAUUCUAUUUCCUUCACCUCCGUCGUGUUCGAUUGCUUCGUCGUGUUUUCGAAGUCGUCUGACAUCUCCUUGACGUUCACCGCCAGGCUAUAUUCCUACUACUCUAACCGUCUAAUGCUCGUCUUCGCCCCGGGGAAUUCUAUUUCCUUCACCUCCGUCGUGUUCGAUCGUUUCGUCACGUUUACGAAGUCGUUUCACAUCUCCUCGACGUUCACCGUCAGCCUUUAUUUCUACUACUCUAACCGUUUAACCCUCGUCUUCGACGAUCACAUCUUUUUUACCAUGACUGAGAACUCCCAUUCGAUGACCUUUACGUCAGGAACCAAUUCCUCUUUUUACUACUUUAUGUUUUUGACUUUUUACCCGUUGGACUCUCAGACUUUACGUUUACACGAAGAAGAUAUGGUCAACUCAAGCACUCCGUCUACGGGGAAAAGCUGCUCACCCCCGACGCGGGCCGGCCGGAACUUCCCGGGGCGCUCUUGGGGCGGGAACACCAAGGAAACGGGCGGCAGGGACGCCGCGCGGGGGGUCUCCACCUACGUCCCCCCGCUCGCGGCGGCUCACGGCGACCCCGUCCACGACCUCUCUACUACGUCGGGCCGCGAAGACUCUGCAGUCGGGGGCUCCGAGCCCACUCGACGGGACUCCCCCACCGUCCUCUCUACCGAGUUAGGUUCCGAGGACUCCAGCGGCGGGGGCUUCGAACCCACUCGUCAGGACUCCACCUCCGACCCCUCGACCGUGCCGGACUGCGAGGGCUCCAGCGGUGGGGUCCCCGGGGCGGCUUGCUGGGUCUGCGGCUGCGAGAGCGGAGAACGCGGAGCGCGGAACCGGGCGAGGCGUAUUUGAAGCUUCGUGAGGCGUUCUACUUUGGCUCACCAGCACGGAUAGCCGACGACUUCGGCUCCUACAUGUAUCGGUAUCUGCUCAUUCAUGGAAUAGAAGCGCUAAAGGACGCACAACACGGGAAAGGAGUGUUACCGAGAAGUCCGGCACUCCUUACCCUCGUUCCCUAGGCUUCGGUACCAAAUCGAAACAACCAUAACCACAGACGAAGGGAAGAAGUCAGGUCUCAAAGCCGCAUGGAUAAUUGACCCUGUAGUACUCAUGCACCGAGCCUGGUUGAUCAUCUAAAACGACUAACGCGCAUAGUGCACUUACUCUACAGG